rnacentral:rRNA from 1 species
UCUAGAAACUUUCCAGAGCUGACAUAUCCUAUUCCCGUCUGAUCGCAGAAGCUACACAGAGUCAGGCCUGGUUAGUACUUAGAUAGGUAACCAGCAAGGAAUAUCAGGUAUUAUAAGUU